rnacentral:rRNA from 1 species
GGAGGAAAAGAAACCAACCGGGAUUGCCUUAGUAACGGCGAGUGAAGCGGCAAAAGCUCAAAUUUGAAAUCUGGUACCUUCGGUGCCCGAGUUGUAAUUUGGAGAGGGCAACUUUGGGGCCGUUCCUUGUCUAUGUUCCUUGGAACAGGACGUCAUAGAGGGUGAGAAUCCCGUGUGGCGAGGAGUGCGGUUCUUUGUAAAGUGCCUUCGAAGAGUCGAGUUGUUUGGGAAUGCAGCUCUAAGUGGGUGGUAAAUUCCAUCUAAAGCUAAAUAUUGGCGAGAGACCGAUAGCGAACAAGUACAGUGAUGGAAAGAUGAAAAGAACUUUGAAAAGAGAGUGAAAAAGUACGUGAAAUUGUUGAAAGGGAAGGGCAUUUGAUCAGACAUGGUGUUUUGUGCCCUCUGCUCCUUGUGGGUAGGGGAAUCUCGCAUUUCACUGGGCCAGCAUCAGUUUUGGUGGCAGGAUAAAUCCAUAGGAAUGUAGCUUGCCUCGGUAAGUAUUAUAGCCUGUGGGAAUACUGCCAGCUGGGACUGAGGACUGCGACGUAAGUCAAGG